rnacentral:rRNA from 1 species
GAUGAACGCUAGCUACAGGCUUAACACAUGCAAGUCGAGGGACCGGCGCGCGUGUGAGUAACACGUAUCCAACCUGCACUUUACUCGGUGAUAGCCUUUCGACAGACAUAUUACUACCCGAUAUAAUGGAUGGGGAUGCGUUCAAUUAGGUUGUUGGUGAGGUAACGGCUAACCAAGCCUUCGAUGGAUAGGGGUUCUGAGAGGCAGGUCCCCCAGAAUGGAACUGAGACCCGGUCCAAACUCCUAAGGGAGGAAGCAGGGAUGAAGAUUGGUCAAUGGACGCUAGCCGGAACCAGCCAGGGAGCGUGAAGGAUGAAGGCGUAUGGGUAGUAAACUUCUUGGAGAGAAGAAUAGGUAUUAUAUGAAUAAGGAUCGGCUAACUCCGUGCCAGCCGGCGCGGUAAUAC